rnacentral:rRNA from 1 species
UACGUAGGUGGCAAGCGUUGUCCGGAUUUAUUGGGUUUAAAGGGUGCGUAGGCGGUGACCUAAGUCAGUUGUGAAAUACUUCAGCUUAACUGGAGAGGUGCAAUUGAUACUGGGUUACUUGAGUACUGAUGAGGUAUGCGGAAUGGACGGUGUAGCGGUGAAAUGCUUAGAUAUCGUCCAGAACACCGAUAGCGAAGGCAGCAUACUAAGGAGUAACUGACGCUGAGGCACGAAAGUGUGGGGAUCAAACAGG